GACAGAGGGUGCAAACGUUGUUCGGAAUUACUGGGCGUAAAGCGUGUGUAGGCGGCUAUGUAAGUCGGAUGUGAAAGCCCCGGGCUCAACUCGGGAAGUGCACUCGAUACUGCGUAGGCUUGAGUACCGGAGAGGUUGGUGGAAUUCUCGGUGUAGAGGUGAAAUUCGUAGAUAUCGAGAGGAACACCGGUGGCGAAGGCGGCCAACUGGACGAGUACUGACGCUGAGAACACGAAAGCGUGGGGAGCAAACAGG
rnacentral:rRNA from 1 species